ACCGGUAUGGCUCAGUGGUUGGAGCGUCAGCCUGCAGACUGAAGGGUCCUGGGUUCGAUCCCGGUUAGGGGUG
rnacentral:tRNA from 1 species